rnacentral:lncRNA from 12 species
AUGAUUCUUUCCCAUGAUUUCCCUUGUUCCCUUAUUACACUUAUCUUUGCUCUUUUGCUGGGCUCUUUACUAUUCCAACCAACUACUUUGUCUUCAGCAACAUGGAUAUAUGCAGUCAACCUGAAUGAAUACAAGGAAGAGCUCUACUCAUACUGGACACACUUCUCUGAAAUUGUCCUGGCCACCAAAGAUUUAUUAAGAAUGGAGGAGAUAAAAUGGAGCGUCUUCCAGAGCUGUUUCUUCUUCUUUUUUCCUUUUUCUUCUGUGAACUGAACACCAUCAGGUUUGAGAACUAAGUUAGAUAUUACAUAUAAUCUCAUAUAAUCUUCUCAUUUUCUGGGUAAAAUUGAGGCCCAGGAGAGUCCAAGUGACUAGAACAGGGUCAGAGAUAUGGUAGGCAAUGGAGCUGAGCUUGAAAGUCUCAUCCCCUUCACCCGUACCCACGAUUCCCUCUUCUCUCCACACACCACAGUCAGCCAGGAAAACAGAUCAGUCACAGAAUCCUCAGAAAAUAUUUGCCCCGGGUUUCUAAGGUUGCCUCAUCCUUGCUCUCCUUUUCUCAUUCUACCCCUUGCCAGAGCAUGAGGUAGCUAAGAAUGACAUUGACCACAUUCUGUAGUUAAUUCUGAUGGUUUGUUCUAAAGUUUAUUGACUCACCAGUAUAUUGUUGAAAAAGAAAACUUUUCCUUGGAGGAAUACUGAAAGCUAUAGGCAACUUCCUAUUAUCAUAACAAAAUAUUAUAACACGGCAAAAGUAGUCAGGGGAUGUCAUUCUAAACAAGUACAAACACAGCAGUGCCUUCUAGGUACUAAUGGAGUCACUCAUUGUAUGCUGGCCCUGUUGUAGUCACUUAGACUUUCCACUCUGGCCAACCUCAGUGAGCCAGUGUGGUGUCACUGUACUCAUGUGGGGAAGAGAUGUGCAGCAGCACACCACUGUAGUAUUUCUACCAUACAAUCAACGUCAAUAAGCCCAAGAACACAAAUAAUAAAUUAAUUAGGUUUGAGUAUGUAUUACUUUUG